GACGGAGGAUGCAAGUGUUAUCCGGAAUCACUGGGCGUAAAGCGUCUGUAGGUGGUUUAAAAAGUCCACUGUUAAAAAUUGAAGCUUAACUUCAAAGAUGCCGUGGAAACUUUUAAACUUGAGUAUGAUAGGGGUAGAGGGAAUUUCCAGUGGAGCGGUGAAAUGCGUAGAGAUCGGAAAGAACGACCAACGGCGAAAGCACUCUGCUGGGCCGACACUGACACUGGAGAGACGGAAAGCGUAGGGGAGCGAAUGGG
rnacentral:rRNA from 1 species